GACGAACGCUGGCGGCGUGCUUAACACAUGCAAGUCGAACGGAAAGGCCCGGUUUUUGUGGGGGGCUCGAGUGGCGAAGGGGGGAGAAACACGGGAGAAACCGCCCCUUGACUUGGGGAUAACUUCAGGAAACUGGGGCUAAUACCGGAUAGGAGCUCCGGCGGCAGGGUGGGGGUUGGAAAGUUUCGGCGGUGGGGGAUGGACUCGCGGCUUAUCAGCUUGUUGGUGGGGUAGUGGCUUACCAAGGCUUUGACGGGUAGCCGGCCUGAGAGGGUGACCGGCCACAUUGGGACUGCGAUACGGCCCAGACUCCUACGGGAGGCAGCAGUGGGGAAUAUUGCACACUGGGCGGAAGCCUGAUGCAGCAACGCCGCGUGCGGGAUGACGGCCUUCGGGUUGUAAACCGCUUUCGCCUGUGACGAAGCGUGAGUGACGGUAAUGGGUAAAGAAGCACCGGCUAACUACGUG
rnacentral:rRNA from 1 species